AUGGCGAUGGCCAGGACUACGACGCUCCUGCUGGUCGCCGCGGCUCUCCUCGGGGCCUCAUGCAGCGCGUGGGAGGUCAACAUCCGCAUGCCGACCUCGGCCGCGGACGUGGACGAGGCCGUGGUGGCGCCGCUGAUCCAUGCGCUGCGGCCGCUGCUGGGUUCCGGCAAGCACGCCGGAGUGGAGUGCGACAGCUGGGUGCUGGGCGUGGAGGCGCACAACGUGCGGGACUGGAAGACGGUGCCCGCCAGCUGCGAGGGCUACGUCGGCCAUUACAUGCUCGGCAAGCACUUCCGCCGCGACUCCAAGAUCGUCAUCGACCAGGCCCUCGCAUACGUCGACAACCUCAAGCUCGCCGGCAACGGCAAGGAGGUGUGGGUCUUCGACAUCGACGAGACCACCCUCUCCAACCUCCCCUACUACGCCAAGCACGGCUUCGGGGCUACACCGUUCAACGCGACGAGCUUCAAUGCGUACGUGCUGGAGGGGAGCGCGCCAGCGCUGCCAGAGACGAAGAGGUUGUACAACAAGCUGCUCUCGGUCGGCAUCAAGCCGGUGUUCCUCACUGAAAGGACCGAGGACCAGAGGGCCGUCACCAUCACCAACCUCCGCCGCCAGGGGAUCUCCGGCUGGAUGAACCUGCUGCUGAAGCAGCCCGGUUUCAAGGGCUCUGCGGUGAACUACAAGUCCGGCGAGAGGCAGAAGCUGCAGGACGCUGGGUUCGUCAUCGUCGGCAACAUCGGCGAUCAGUGGAGCGACAUCCUUGGCGCGCCGGAGGGCGCCCGCACGUUCAAGCUCCCCGACCCCAUGUACUACAUCGGCUAG
rnacentral:rRNA from 1 species